rnacentral:misc_RNA from 1 species
CCAUUGUACAAGCCUAGAGGUAUGCUAACCUGGCAGAAUCCGGAUACCCCAGCAAUGGAGAGCAAGCUGAAAGCCUUCGCACGAAAGUCGUGUAGCUUCAAGACGUCUGUGUUUAGUUUUGGAGGGGGGCCUGGGACUGUAGGAAUUGCAAGGACCCCAAAAUCUUCAAGAAGUGCAGCAAGAGCUUCACGCAGUUCCAUUUUAAUGGAAUGACAAAGAUCAGUAUUCUCAUCUGUUGCCUUCAUGGCUUCUGAUACUCGAUCUGAUAUUCCUGGGCCCAAAUGAGG